CUGAGGCAUAGAGAAGUUAAAUAACUUGCUCAGGGUAUAAAGCCAGGAGGUGACAAAGUCAAGAUCUGAGCCCAAUGUUUGAAUCUAGAGCUCAAGCUUUUCACUAUGAUAUCCUAACACAAAGUAUUGAACAAAAUGCAUAGAGUUUCUCAAAAUGAAACUAUGGUAAAACAAUAAAUAGGUUAACAAUAGAGAUGAAAUAUGAUUUCUGAGGGAAAUAAAAAUAUCUUAGACACCUCAAAUAUAAAGCAUAUAAGCAUCCAUUUCCAGACUUUUCACAGAUACAAAAUUAGAAGUUGUGUGAAUUAUUUAAUGAAAAUAAGCACCCAGGUGUAAUAGACACAUUUAAUAACCUAUAAUCAGAAGUCAUGUUGACUAUUUUGUGACUAUUUUUAUUUCCAGUAAAAUACCCAACAAAGUUGCCAUCUAAAUGGUAAUGCUAAUAAUUACAUUCCGGGUUCAUACUUCACUGAAUGGCAUAAUUUAUUUAUUGCACAUUUCCCCUGUGGUUAAAAGAAAAUGCUUUUGUUCCUAUGAGGGCUAUUGAUUAUCGCUUUCAAAAUCUUGCUUAAUAACCAGUUUGAAUGGAACAACUACCGUCAUUUUUUAUAGGGGAUUUCUGAAGCAAAAUAUAUUUUUUCUAUUAUGCAGAUAUCUAUCCUGGGAAGCAAUGCAUCUUCUAAGUAAUACUGUCAGUUAAAAGCACACAAUUCCCAGGGAAGAAGAAAUAGAGUGUCAUGAGUAACCAUGAAGUAUUCUUUCAUUGGUGGCUAGACUUCAGUACCUGUGAUCCUCACCUAAUCUGUCAUCUCUGAGAUGCAUAAUGAGAAACGAGAGGAGUAUUUUAGUAGCCUUUUCGGAUAACUGUGGAUAUUCUUUGAUGGUACACCAAAACUCAACAAGUGGUAAUUUCUUAAAGGUGAGUUGCGUUGUCAAAUUUCAAAUUUUAUCAAUAAACUUUAUAUGUUCUGUUACUUUAAAAUUUAUUGGACUACAUUGCACAUUGAAUAGAUUUUACCCAUGCAUGAAUGUGUGUCAUAUAGUAUAAAUUUGAAAAAUUAUUGAUUAUUUGAGCUCUGCAGUUCUUUCCAAAUUAUGACCCAUUUUGUCUUAUAAUAUCAAAAUGGCAAAUUCCAGUUUCAUCUUGAAAACAGAGAUUUCUUCUCAGCGUCACUAUUGCUUUCUUUCUCUUUUUGGUGAUAAUUCAGAUUCAGUAAGUUAAAAAAAACGUUAAGGUCAUGCCCUUUAUGAGUAAAUGACUAACUUACAGUAUGGUUAUCUAUCCUUUCGUGGAUAGAAAUAUUUCAGUAUAAAAUGUACACUCAUAACAUUCUAGCUGUGGGCCAUGAGGCCUUCAAGGUAUGAUUCCCUGCAUAUAUUUGCAACCUUUUCAAUUCUGUAUCUUAUACUCAGUUUCCUGAAUUCACCUUGCUUGUGCACAUUUUAUUGACUUCCCACAUAUAUAUGUAUUAUUCUGGAAAGCUCUUUAUCCUUUUGACAAAAGAACUCUGUCUGCAAAGAUGAGAUUCUUAACCAUUACUUGAGGUAAACCACCUUGACCAUCCCGAACAAGAUAGGGGUUCCUUUCAUGUGCUGAUAUGCCAAGGAUCCUAUCACUUUCUUGGUCUUUUUAUGAAUUAAGGAAAGGCAUUUCUUCCAGUAGAAUACAGGCAGGCACAAUAUGGCUUGGCAACAUCUUUCUAACAGGCAUGUCUUCCUUUGAUUAGACACAGCCUCCAUGGACAGCUGGGAGGGAAAAAUUGGCUUAGAUUUUACCUACUGCUCAAUGCUCCACCAGGAGCCACUGUAAGAGCACAUAUAUAAAAAUUUUUCUAGAUGUUCUGACCCUUUCAUAGUGCCAUUCAUUUGAACAGUAAAAAGGCAUGUCCCGAGGUAAACUAUAAGCACCUUAAGGGAGGAGUCUCUGCUUUACGUGUAUCCCUAGGACGCAGCACAACAUCUGACACAUUACCAGUGCUCACCAAAUAGGCAUAGCAUGAGGGAAUAUUUGGUAAAACAUGUCAAGGUGGAAAUCUGUAUCAUAGAAGAAAUGGCACUCGCCAGAGACUUCUCUUUGAGCUUAUGUCAUGAUAUGUAUUUUCCCUCUACUGCUACAUUCAUCCCACCAUCAAUCUUCAUAGGAUAGAUUAGUGUGGGAAGCUAACACACUAAAAUAUAAUUAUGUAUGGAAAAAUGUGGGGUUCUUUUCCUUUUCAAAAUGAGAGUGUAAAGCAUAAAAAACAGACAAGUAAGUAUAUAUUAAAAGAGUAUUUUGGCUACUGGCAGAAAUAGAGGAAAACAGCAAUUUUCAAAACUGUUCAGUUUCAAAACCAAAUGAACAAGAUUCAGAGGGAGUGGGAAUGCCAUAGGAAGAACAAGGACUAUCCUUCACAAUCGUGAGUAGAAAUCCAGCCUGUCAUUUUCUGGCCACAUGAAUUUAGGCAGAUUGCUUAACCACUCUGAUCCCAAUUUGUCAUUUGUAAAAUAAAUGUAUAUUUACCUCCAUUGUAGAGUUGUUGUGAAGAGGCAAAAAAAACAAAUAAUGCAUGUAAAAAACCUAGGACAGUACUUUGUAUAUUGUAGAUAGUAAAUAUAGUAGUUGUUUAUAAUUAUAUAUAUAUGUAUUACUGAAAGUAAAAGACUCCAAGAAAAGAGAAAAUAAUUUUUAUACACGAAGUAUAAAAGAUGGAGAUCUUGCUUUUAUUCAUGUGUCAUUUCUGUUUCAGAGAUUUCUUCAAAUUUGCAAUUUCAUAUCAGUGACAAAUGCAUGAAAAAGGAUACAUUUUAAAAUAUUUAAAUCACUAUAUAUUAUUAAAAAAUACAUAGUAGCACUUACUAUUCCAUAGGGCAUUAUAUAGGACAAAAACAUGACAAAGAACAUUUGUAAAAUUAGAGAUUGUUUCACAUAACAUGAAAGUUUAGGAGGCAGCUUAGAGCCGGAGAAGCUUAAUAUGCCAGGAUUGAUGUGGAUCCUCUCUUCCCCACACUUUCUCUGCUUUGUGGCACUCAUCUUCAUGCUAGUGAAUUCAGCACAGGCAUAGCUUGUCUAUUCCGAGGUAGUGGACAGGAAAUUUAAUUUUUAGUUUCCCAACAUUUACAGUAAAUGAGGACAAGUCAAAAGUGGAUUAGAUAGGUCUCUUAACGGAGACCAAUUAUGAUGUAGGCUAUAGCACCUAAUCCAACCAUAUUUACAUGUUUUCAUAUAGAUUUUUGUGAUUAAAUUUAAGUGAAUUUACCAAUAUUCUACAUUACACCUUCUGCUCACAUUGCUUUUGUACCUUAACAGUGAAAAACGACAAUUGUGAGAAAUACACCCAUUAUGUCAACAAAUAAGCCAUUAGAAUAUUGCGGAUUCAACAAAUAUUUGUCAUAAGACUCUCAUAUAUAGUUUGUUGAAAUGGAUACUAGCUUUAUUUUGUUAGACCUAAUAAUUCAAAGUAGAUUUUAGUCUUCUUGAGUUAUUUUAGUCAUUUCAAAAAAUUUAUGGCAAUUACAAAAGAUUUUAGACUUAAACACAUUAAAUAUUUUUUAAAAAUCAUAUAAAUGUUUGCUAACCAAUUGUUAGCUUAUGAGUAAUAAUACACAGAUAAUUUCUUUUGCUGUAACCAUCAAUGUCUGUAACAAUAUGACCGUUUUUCAAAUAGUUGCAGAUAAGAGUAGGCAAUACUCUGAUUAUAUUGUGAUAAGAAAUUAGGUUACAAUAGAAUUUCAUGCCACUAGGAAUGGAGUAGAUCACUAAAUUUCUGAAAGAGUUGUCAGUAGAUCAGAGAGCUUUAUAAGUGGGUGGUCUUUUGUAUUGACAUCAAACACUUUGAUAACAAUUUACAAUAUUUAUGUGUCUUGCAUGUGCUUGUGAAAGUGAUUUUUGAUCACUGUCAUAUUUGUUGAAACUAAUAUACCCUGCAUGUUGCAAUUAUAGGAGACAACCAGUUUUGAAAUAUGACAUAACCUUACAAACAGUGUCAUAUACUUUAAUCAGUUUUUUUCCUCUCUAAUAUCCUUAGUAUUUGCCUGUUUUCAUCACCCAUUAAUUUAAUCCUUAUUUUAGUGGAAAUCAUUAUGAAAAUAUCAUAAUUACUUUCCCUUUUUUAAUUUUAGGGGAAAACUAAACAUUUCAAAUAGUUUAAUUUAUCCAACAAUUUCUUAAAAACAUGUUACAUUCACACAAUUUCCCUUGUUUCUUUUUUCUUCUUUUUUCUUCUAUGCUACAUUUUGAGACUAUCUUCUUUUAGUUGUUUAUAUUAAUUUGUAAAAUAUUUAUCCUAUUUCUGAGCAAUUGUAUUCCAAGACAGAAAAAGAAACAUAAAAUUGUAGUUUUGUGUACAUGUCAGGUGGUGACAUUGGUGGGGGUCGUGGAAUCGAAGGAAGUUGUGCAGAGAAGUGGAAGGGCAAAAAAUUGAUGGGCUUAUUGAGAAAGUAUUAUAACAGGUAAGUAAUAUCUAGAGAUACAAGACUAACGGAUUGACUAGUACAUACUUUUUGAAAAUUUAUUGAAGUAUAACUGAUAAAUAAAAUUGUAAGAUAUUUAAAGUA